CAAAGGAAUGACGGGACCGCACAAGCGGUGGAUGAUGUGGUUUAAUUCGAUGCAACGCGAAAACCUUACCACCUUUGACAUGUACGGAACUCGCCAGAGAUGGCUUGGUGCUCGAAAGAGAACCGUAACACAGGUGCUGCAUGGCUGUCGUCAGCUCGUGUCGUGAGAUGUUGGGUUAAGUCCCGCAACGAGCGCAACCCUUGUCAUUAGUUGCUACAUUUAGUUGGGCACUCUAAUGAGACUGCCGGUGACAAGCCGGAGGAAGGUGGGGAUGACGUCAAGUCCUCAUGGCCCUUAUAGGUGGGGCUACACACGUCAUACAAUGGCUGGUACAGAGGGUUGCCAACCCGCGAGGGGGAGCUAAUCCCAUAAAACCAGUCGUAGUCCGGAUCGCAGUCUGCAACUCGACUGCGUGAAGUCGGAAUCGCUAGUAAUCGCGGAUCAGAAUGUCGCGGUGAAUACGUUCCCGGGUCUU
rnacentral:rRNA from 1 species